AGCGGCGGACGGGUGAGUAACACGUGGGUAAUCUACCCGGAUGUGGGGGAUACCUCGCCGAAAGGCGAGCUAAUACCGCAGACAGAUCCCCGGGACCUCGGUCCUGGUGAUCAAAGCGGGGGUCGCAAGACCUCGCGCUUCCGGAGGAGCCCGCGCCCGAUUAGCUAGUUGGCGAGGUAAUGGCUCACCAAGGCGACGAUCGGUAGCCGGCCUGAGAGGGUGAUCGGCCACACUGGAACUGAGACACGGUCCAGACUCCUACGGGAGGCAGCAGUGGGGAAUCUUGCGCAAUGGGCGAAAGCCUGACGCAGCAACGCCGCGUGGAGGAUGAAGGUCCUUGGAUUGUAAACUCCUGUCGAACGGGAAGAAUGAUUCGGGCGCUAAUAUCGCCCGAAUUUGACUGUACCGCCAGAGGAAGCCCCGGCUAACUCCGUGCCAGCAGCCGCGGUAAUACGGGGGGGGCGAGCGUUAUUCGGAAUUAUUGGGCGUAAAGGGCGCGUAGGCGGCCUGGUAAGUCGAAGGUGAAAUCCCCGAGCUCAACUUGGGAACUGCCUUUGAUACUGCCGGGCUUGAGUCCGGGAGGGGAAAGUGGAAUUCCCAGUGUAGCGGUGAAAUGCGUAGAUAUUGGGAGGAACACCAGUGGCGAAGGCGGCUUUCUGGACCGGAUCUGACGCUGAGGCGCGAAAGCGUGGGUAGCAAACAGGAUUAGAUACCCCGGUAGUCCACGCCGUAAACGAUGGGUACUAGGUGCAGGGGGUAUCGACCCCUCCUGUGCCAAAGCUAACGCAUUAAGUACCCCGCCUGGGGAGUACGGUCGCAAGGCCGAAACUCAAAGGAAUUGACGGGGGC
rnacentral:rRNA from 1 species